rnacentral:rRNA from 1 species
CACGUAGGGCGCAAGCGUUGUCCGGAAUUAUUGGGCGUAAAGAGCUCGUAGGCGGUCUGUUACGUCUGCUGUGAAAACCCAGGGCUUAACCCUGGGCUUGCAGUGGAUACGGGCAGACUAGAGGCAGGUAGGGGAGAAUGGAAUUCCUGGUGUAGCGGUGAAAUGCGCAGAUAUCAGGAGGAACACCAAUGGCGAAGGCAGCACUCUGGGACGUGACUGACGCUGAGACGCGAAAGCGUGGGGAGCAAACAGG